GAGCGGCAGCGGGAAGUAGUUUACUACUUUGCCGGCGAGCGGCGGACGGGUGAGUAAUGUCUGGGAAACUGCCUGAUGGAGGGGGAUAACUACUGGAAACGGUAGCUAAUACCGCAUGACCUCGCAAGAGCAAAGUGGGGGACCUUCGGGCCUCACGCCAUCGGAUGUGCCCAGAUGGGAUUAGCUAGUAGGUGGGGUAAUGGCUCACCUAGGCGACGAUCCCUAGCUGGUCUGAGAGGAUGACCAGCCACACUGGAACUGAGACACGGUCCAGACUCCUACGGGAGGCAGCAGUGGGGAAUAUUGCACAAUGGGCGCAAGCCUGAUGCAGCCAUGCCGCGUGUGUGAAGAAGGCCUUCGGGUUGUAAAGCACUUUCAGCGAGGAGGAAGGCAGUCGUGUUAAUAGCACGAUUGAUUGACGUUACUCGCAGAAGAAGCACCGGCUAACUCCGUGCCAGCAGCCGCGGUAAUACGGAGGGUGCAAGCGUUAAUCGGAAUUACUGGGCGUAAAGCGCACGCAGGCGGUUUGUUAAGUCAGAUGUGAAAUCCCCGCGCUUAACGUGGGAACUGCAUUUGAAACUGGCAAGCUAGAGUCU
rnacentral:rRNA from 1 species